CCUACGGGAGACAGCAGUGAGGAAUAUUGGUCAAUGGCCGAGAGGCUGAACCAGCCAAGUCGCGUGAGGGAAGAAUGUCCUAUGGAUUGUAAACCUCUUUUGUCAGGGAGCAAAGUCACCCACGUGUGGGUGUUGGAGAGUACCUGAAGACAAAGCAUCGGCUAACUCCGUGCCAGCAGCCGCGGUAAUCCGGAGGAUUCGAGCGUUAUCCGGAUUUAUUGGGUUUAAAGGAUGCGUAGGCGGGUUAUCAAUUCAGCGGUAAAAUCGUGGAUCUCAACUCCAUUCAGCCGUUGAAACUGAUGAUGUUGAGUGGGCGAGAAGUAUGCGGAAUGCGUGGUGUAGCGGUGAAAGGCAUAGAUAUCACGCAGAACUCCGAUUGCGAAGGCAGCAUACCGGCGCCCGACUGACGCUGAAGCACGAAAGCGUGGGUAUCGAACAGGAUUAGAUACCCUAGUAGUC
rnacentral:rRNA from 1 species